UACAGAGGUCUCAAGCGUUGUUCGGAUUCAUUGGGCGUAAAGGGUGCGUAGGUGGCGCGGUAAGUCGGGUGUGAAAUCUCGGAGCUUAACUCCGAAAUUGCAUUCGAUACUGCCGUGCUCGAGGACUGGAGAGGAGACUGGAAUUCAUGGUGUAGCAGUGAAAUGCGUAGAGAUCAUGAGGAAGACCAGUGGCGAAGGCGGGUCUCUAGACAGUUCCUGACACUGAGGCACGAAGGCCAGGGGAGCAAACGGG
rnacentral:rRNA from 1 species